AUCCUUUGAGGUCCGUAAGCAUGCUGAUUGGGAUUUCAUUCUAUUGUGAGGUGAGCUUCCCUCCCGCCCCAUUACAAUCCAGCAUAUUACCCAGCUGAUG
ensembl:snoRNA